CAUUGUUUACUCUUCUCCAGUCUCUGGGCAAAAGUUCACACUUGAUGGCUGACUUCACUUAGCACAUUUGAGGGAGCUGAAAUCCAGUUAGAGAAAGUCAUCCCCGGGAUGUGCAUUUGUGGGAUGAGAGUUGAAAUUUACUUUGGAAACUGAGAAUCACUUUAUAUUACAUUAAAAUGCAAUCUGAUACUGAACUGGGCUGCUUGACACAGAUCAACACAACGGCAGAACACAAUGGAAUUUCUACUCUCCUGAAUUAUGAUGAAAACACUGAGAGCUUUCAGUAAUUGAGAGAAUGCUCAAGUUUCAUUCAUGGAAAAAUAAAAAUACGACAAUAUAAUUAUUCAAUUCAGUUCAAUUGUUAUCAUUAUAUUAA